rnacentral:lncRNA from 1 species
GCGCUGACGCAGGGCUUCACCCACGUCUUCUCCAUGAGCUUCGCCAGCGCCGAGGACCUGGCGGCGUACAUGGGCCACGAGAAGCACUCUGCGUUCGCCGCCACCUUCAUGGCCGUGCUCGACAAGGUGGUUGUCCUGGACUUCCCCUUCGUCGUCGCCAAGCCGGUGCCAUCGCCUGAGGCCGCUUGAAUGAUACACCCCACCCCAGUAUCUAUCUGUUACUACUUCCUCCGUCUAAAAAAGCUUGAAUGAUAUAUACACCCCACCCCACUGUCUAUCUGUUACUACUAAGCAAGUAUAAGCAUCUACCAUCGCCAGCAACUGUAAGGUGCCUACCUUUUCAGGUAAUACCACCAUCUAUCUAUCUGAAGGCUGCAGCUGUGAUGUACCUAAAGCCUCCUAUUUUUUUGCUUGCUUGUCCUGCUACCACGGCAUUAACCGGCCGUCUAGCCUGUAAAGCCACUGUAAGGUGUAACUCUAUUCCGUGCAUUCCCUUCGAAAGUUGCUUGGUUAUCACCCUUGAAUAAACAUCGGUGGUUUUGCUUUACUUUUUGGUCUUCAUGAUGAAUCGAUGGAUAUCCAAUCUGUAAUGGCUCACUCGUGCUGACCACUAUUGCGUAAACAGUUAAAACUCGGGCAAUGCAAGUUUCAUUGUUGAAGCUGAAGGCAUUGAUGAACAGUAACAUGUCAGAAUUUUCAUGUGAAGCCAUUUACAUUAGCCUUUCAAUUGCUGCCCCUGGGGUGGUUGAGCGGUGCUAUCUUUCUUGCCUUCUCCUUCAUUAUUUACCAAGAAUGAAGGCCGGCCCGAUGCACACAACCGUGUAUCUUGUUAAUAGUCGAAACGUGUGGAGUUACUGCAGAUUUUGUCAAAUGGUAAUACUGUCGAAUGGAAAGAAGAGGCCGAAAAUGAUCAGGGGAUCGAUGAAAUGCUAGUUUUUCCUUGGGAAAAAGAUUGACGAUAAACGGGGUUUGCUUACAAAAAAACGAAAACAUGUGUAGCAGAUAACUGCAACAAUGGAAGCUGCACUGCACAGGUUUGUAUGUGCUUAGGGCAUUUCUAACUGAUCCCUUAAAAGUUAGCGGAGUAUAACCUAAAAUUUCGCCACACCUAACCGAUCCCCUAAAAUUAGUGGAGUAUAAUUAAAUUUGCACAAAUUCAAUCAAAUUUGAACCGAAAAUGAUGCAUUUAAACAUAAGUUCAACACGUAAAGUUCUCGCAACCGAACAUUAAACAUAAAUUUAAACUAAAACUAAACUUAAACUACUUUCGGCCGAAGUGGAGGUCGAGUCAAUCCUUCCGGGUGAGGCCACCCUCGGUGAGAGCUGGGUCCGGGCCGGUGCUGUCGUCGCCGUAGUCGGGGAAGAUGCUCCACCACUCCUCGACGUCCAUCUCGUCGUUGCGGCCCAUCUUGCCACCCGCGUUGCCGCCCUCCUCGCCGUUGGCGUUGCCGCCCUCAUCGUCGGAGAUAACGAUAACUUCGCCGUCAUUGACGGCGAAGCUCUCCCGCUCCGUCUCCACUAGCUCCGGGUAAUGCCGGUGGAACUCAUCCAUGUAGGCCUAGGCCUCGGCCUCGAGGCGCUCCCUCGCCUCCCUCGCCUCCCGCGCCAUCCGAGCGGUCACCACCCCCAGCUCCGACGGGACGAGGUGGAACAGAGUCAUGCCGAUGGAAAAGUUGAGCAUCGCAUCGCGGUCGUGGAACUGGACCUACCACCAGUCGUAUUCCAUGGCUACGAGCUCGGCGGUGUGGAAGGAGCCGACCCACUUCCGCUUGUGGGUCUCGCGAUCGGUGAUUUCGGCCACAUCCCCUACGACCGUUGUCAGACUCCCAUGUAGGUCCUCGUGGGUGGCUGCGGCGGAGGGAGGUCCGGGAAGUCCGCAAAAUGUGUGGGGGACACGGCGGCUGGCGGAUUGGCCGAGCGGCGGCGGCUCGAGGAAGCAGCCGUGGACGACAACCCGCGGGCGUGGCGUCGCGGAUCUGUGUUGCGGAUUAGCGGAGGGGACCGGCGGCCACCGUGUCAGGCCAUCGGGGAGGAGGGAGGGUGGCGGAUCGGGGUCGGGGUCGCGCCGGCGGCGGGAUGAGGGGGAGAAGAGGAGGCGGGGGACAGAAGAGAGAGUACGGAAAUUUUACUCGGCCGCCGCGAGCCGGAGUAAAUAUAGGGAGAAGAAUGGGGAUGGAGUAAAAAGUUUAUACACCACUAAUGGUUAUAAGGGAUCGGCUAAGUGCGGUUUAGAGGAGAAAAAAGCUAAAUUUACUCCCUGGGAUCGGUUAAAAUACCCUUAGUAAAAUUGGUGACCUGUAGUAGAGACUAGGAGAGAGAUGUUGCUCGGACUGAAAGAUUGGAGGUGUCCCACCGAUCCAUCAGCACGAGAAUUGAUUAGCAUCAACAUCACCGCAUGGCACACGUGGUUAGCAAUCUCCAUCAACAUUAGGUGCCAUCUUGUUUCCAUCUACCUGGAUUCAGUGUCUAUUCUUCGUCAAGUUACCUUGGUCUUGGUGAGUGAGCGACCUAACUGGUCUGAUGAGAUGAACUGGUCAAGCAUCAUCUAACACGCAUAAUUCUAAGCAACUCUGAUCCAAGAUUCAAGAUCACAAAGAUGGAACUCCAGAAUGUUGACAUCUCAUUAGCAGGCAUGCAGAUCCCGGUGGGGCCUGCGCGCCGAUGCCGAUGCCGCUCGGAUCGGGUACAAUCAUGGUUCAGACUUGAGAGGCUCAUGCAGCCAUGCGAGCUAGUAGAUCUAACAGUGUGCUGUGCUGUGCUCAAUGCAGCAGUAGCAUGGUCGGCCUUCACCUCCUGUGCUGAAAUGAUUAAGUCCAGUGUGGUGGCAAGAAAAAGGAAGAAAAAUGCCCAACAAGCUUUAGACUGACUGAGUGAUUCCUAUGGGCGGUGGUGGCCCUCACCGUCACCGUGAGCAAAUCUGGGCAGAACUCUCCCCCCGCUCCCUCCCGGCUUUAAAACGGCGUGAUCAUGGCGGCCUCUGCCACUGCAACCAAAGCCACCGGCCGGAGGGAAGAGAGAAAAGAGAAAGCUAGCCGCCUUUGGGCCAUGGCGGAGUUCAAGCACCUUUGCAUGGCCAAGUUCAAGGAAGGCGUCGUGGUGGACGACAUCAUCCAGGAGCUCACCAAGCUCGCCGCGGAGCUCGACACCGUCAAAUACUUCGGGUGGUACGCAUAAAUACUUUGCAUUCCUUAGCUUGUGCUGUGAAAAAGCAACAUCACCAGAUCCAUAUAUACUUUCCAGUGCACUUUAAUGUAUCCAAAUCUAGUGCUACAUUUCUUCUGAAGAACUUUGUGCUAUAAACCAGUGACCAAAAGUUCUUUCUGAAGGCCGGCAUACAGUAAAAGAUCAAGAUUGCGUACAUCAUACUUCAUUCAUGGAUAUUUCUUCAGCCUGCUUUUAGUAGCACUUGACACCAUGCAUAUUGCAGGGGCAAGGACGUGCUGAACCAGGAGGCGCUCACGCAGGGCUUCACCCACGUCUUCGUCAUGACCUUCGCCAGCGCCGAGGACCUGGCGGCGUGCAUGGGCCAUGAGAAGCACUCUGCGUUCGCCGCCACCUUCAUGGCCGCGCUCGACAAGGUCGUCGUCAUGGACUUCCCCUUGGUCUUCGUCAAGCCAGCGCCGCCUGCCUGAUCCGCCUCCAGUAUCUCUACCAAGCAUGGAUGUGCCAACUAUCUAUCUAUCUGCUGCAGCUCUGGUGUAGUGUAGGAGUACCUGAGCCUCCUUUCUCUGCUUCAGUGUUUAGCUGGUGCAGCUGCCUGCCUGUAAGACUGUAAUGCCGCGUGUUCCCUUGAAAAGUUGUUUGGUUACCCACCCUUGAAUAAACUUGUGCGAUUUUCAUUUGUUUUUCUUGA